rnacentral:lncRNA from 1 species
UGUGUGCUAAAAUGCUGUGUUCUUAUAUAGGACCAUUUCUUUUUUCUUUCUUUUUCGAAAUCUUUGUUGAAGACCUUUAAUUUGAAUUUGGAUUGAUAAUCUAUAGAAUGAGCUUUGUAAAUUUCUCUUAUUUUAUAGAGCCUAUGAAUUUGCACUACAUAACCUAAAAAGAAACUUUAAUUAGCUAUAUGGAAAUCUACUGUAUUACUUUUAUAGAUCUCAAAUGUAUCUUUACAAAAUAGAUGAUGAAUUAAAAAAUAACUUAAAAAUCUCUUAUUUUUUUCCACAAAAACUUUACGAGUUCUUGCCUCGUCUUUUUGAUUCACAGACAUUU